UACGGGGGGGGCAAGCGUUGUUCGGAAUUACUGGGCGUAAAGGGCUCGUAGGCGGCCAACUAAGUCAGACGUGAAAUCCCCAGGCUUAACCUGGGAACUGCGUCUGAUACUGGAUGGCUUGAAUUCGGGAGAGGGAUGCAGAAUUCCAGGUGUAGCGGUGAAAUGCGUAGAUAUCUGGAGGAAUACCGGUGGCGAAGGCGGCAUCCUGGACCGAGAUUGACGCUGAUGAGCGAAAAGCUAGGGGAGCAAACGGGG
rnacentral:rRNA from 1 species